UGAUAAAUACAAUACUUCUCCCUUUGAGCUAGCUUUUGGGGUGUGAGUUAAGUUUAAAAUCUAAUUUAACAUGGUAUCUGAACAGGGUCCGUCUCACUCGAUAUUGGGACUACAGAAUCAAAAUUGACCACGCACCAAAUGUUAAGAACUGGGCGUGAGGUGGGUGUUAAAAGUCUCACAUCGGUGCUUAAUGAGAUGAGUUGACUUCUUAUAAGUGGAACGGGUUGAAAUUAUUACGUUUCAUGAUACACAAGUUCGGACAGGAGCUUCUGGAUCGUUCGAAAGCGGAGCAUUGUCUGCUGGACGGAGUCGAUUGAUGGUGCCAUUAUUGUAGAGGACGAAAAAAGGGGUCAUAUCAACUGCUACUUCGUUAGUGUUGGAAGCCAUGGAAAUUGAUUAAUUCACCAAAAUUGUGAAGUGAGAUAGAAAAUUAUUGGAAAAAUUAUAUAAAUUAAUACAUUUUAAAAAAUAAUUAUGAUUUAA